rnacentral:rRNA from 1 species
CCUACGGGAGGCAGCAGUGAGGAAUAUUGGUCAAUGGGCGCUAGCCUGAACCAGCCAAGUAGCGUGAAGGAUGACUGCCCUAUGGGUUGUAAACUUCUUUUAUAUGGGAAUAAAGUGCAGUAUGUAUACUGCUUUGCAUGUACCUUAUGAAUAAGGAUCGGCUAACUCCGUGCCAGCAGCCGCGGUAAUACGGAGGAUGCGAGCGUUAUCCGGAUUUAUUGGGUUUAAAGGGUGCGCAGGCGGCCUGUUAAGUCAGCGGUAAAAGCCCGGGGCUCAACCCCGGCGAGCCGUUGAAACUGGCGGGCUGGAGUUGGAGAGAAGUACGCGGAAUGCGCGGUGUAGCGGUGAAAUGCUUAGAUAUCGCGCAGAACCCCGAUUGCGAAGGCAGCGUACCGGCUCCACACUGACGCUGAGGCACGAAAGCGUGGGUAUCGAACAGGAUUAGAUACCCCAGUAGUC